rnacentral:rRNA from 1 species
GGCGAAAGGGGCAGUAAUGCAUGGGUAACCUACCUUAAGGUUCGGGAUAGCCAUUCUAACGGAUGGGUAACACUGGACGGUCUGAGUUGUCGGCAUCGAUGGCUCAGUAAAUGUGAAGCCUUAUGAGGGGCCCAUGUGAUAUUAGCUAGUUGGUGAGGUAAUGGCUCACCAAGGCGAAGAUGUCUAGCGGGUGUGAGAGCACGACCCGCGUCACUGGCACUGAGACACUGGCCAGACUCCUACGGGAGGCUGCAGUCGAGGAUCUUCGGCAAUGGACGCAAGUCUGACCGAGCGACGCCGCGUGUGCGAUGAAGGCCUUCGGGUUGUAAAGCACUGUCGAGAGGGAACAAGCCGCAAGGUUGAGUGACCUCUGGAGGAAGGACGGGCUAAGUUCGUGCCAGCAGCCGCGGUAAGACGAACCGUCCAAACGUUAUUCGGAAUCACUGGGCUUAAAGGGCGCGUAGGCGGGCGAUCAAGUCAGGGGUGAAAUCCCCCAGCUCAACUGGAGAAGUGCCUUUGAUACUGGUUGUCUAGAGUGAGGUAGGGGCAUGUGGAACUUCCAGUGGAGCGGUGAAAUGCGUAGAUAUUGGAAGGAACACCAGUGGCGAAAGCGAUGUGCUGGAUCUCAACUGACGCUGAGGCGCGAAAGCUAGGGGAUCAAACGGGAUU